rnacentral:rRNA from 1 species
UGAGGAACAUGACCUUCGGCGGGGGAUAGCCGGCCCAACGGCCGGGUAAUACCGCGUACGACCGUCUAGGGACAUCCCUGGAUGGUGAAAGCAGCAAUGCGCCGAUGGAGUGCCUCGCGGCCUAUCAGCUAGUUGGUGAGGUAACGGCUCACCAAGGCAACGACGGGUAGCUGGUCUGAGAGGAUGGCCAGCCACAUUGGGACUGAGACACGGCCCAGACUCCUAGGGAGG